GAAGCUGGAAAGAAGAGCCCAAGGAAAAUGCGGGACAAAGGUCUGUGCAUACAAGCAGGGCAGAGACCACACUGCAGCUUGAUGACAGCACCGUGAAUGUCUCCAGCAGGCAGAUGGUGGAGUAUAUUUCAGAAACUUCUCCAUGAUUCAUCACCGUUGUUUAAAGCCACAGGUGGUGGGAGAAAGGUUCAGCAGUGGGGACGCAAGAAAGAGAGAGAGACAGAGAAAGAGAGAGUGAGC